CCGCUUGCGUAAGGGCGCUCUCUCUAGGCUGCUUCCUCCUUUUCGCCCUCGGAUCGUAAACGCUCCGCAGCACUCACUCAGCCGGGGCCAGCGCAAGCCAUCCCGCUCGGAGCCCCCGCCCGGGUUUCCAGCCUGCGGCGGGGGGGGACCUUGCCGCGGAGAACCCCGCCUGCCUCCCCCGCGAAGCACCUCGGCCAGCAGGUGGGUGUCGGGGGCGGGAGCUAGCUGGCUGGCUGCCUCCGGCUCAGCCCCCCGGGCCGCCGCCGCCGCCCACCCCCUCUGCAGCAGGCGCCGCGACCUACCUCGCAAGCAGCCAAGCCGCGUCCGGGAGGCAGGAGGAAUGGCUGCCCGCUGCCGGCUUGUAGACUCCGCCGCCGCCGCUCUCUCAGGCAGCGCCGCCGGUUAGCGCGCCAGCCGGCCUGUGAAACCAGAUGGGAGGCUUCUGUCCCCCCCCAAAAAGACUUUGUCAUGGUGUCAGCGCUGAUGCUGCGGCAGGGCUGGAGCGCCCCCUGCUGGCCGCCUGCUCCCACAGAGACACAGACGGGGAAGCCAACUUCUAAAGCCGCCGGGAGUCAGAGCCUUGGUCCGUCCAGGCAGAGAGAGGCUUGCUCCCAGCCCAGCUCCACAAGGGCUCUUUAAAACAGAUGGCGAGGCUCGAUCCUGCGGUGUUCUGCAUGCAAGUGCCACCGAGCGAGGGGCCGUGCCUCAUUUUGCAGAGCACCAGGGAAGCCGAAACACUCACACGCGGAGCUCUUCUCCAAGCCCUUCCACGGCCCCAAGGGGCUGCCGUGGCAUUUUGCCUUCUUUGUCUCCGCCGCACAAGUGACCACACAGGACCCAGAGCCGCUCAACUUUAGCACCAUUUUAAUGCAGCGUGCAACUCUGCCCCCUUCCCAAGGCACAAGCGGCCAACAGCCGUGUGGCAAGAGGCACCUUUGGCCAUGCAAGGGAGAAGCCCUGGCUGCAGCAGUGCUGGGCAGCAACCGCGGAUUUCUUUAGUGUGUGGGAAGCAGAAAAUUAGACCCAGCCCUACACAGCAUUUAAUAACAUAGCAACAUACAGAGCCGGCACUUAAGGCUAUGUCUGUACUGGGGGGGGGGGCCUGGGGGCUGACCUGGGCAGUAGGCAAUAGCUUGGAGUGGCAAGAUGUGCGGGGAGGGAGCGGUGGACAGGCUUGCAAACACAGGCGGAGUGCAUCUAUGUGUAGGGAACUUCAAAUACACCCACUUCCACGUUAAACAGAACUCUUCAGCAACCAGCUCUUCCUUCCCAUGUCAUGAAGAGAGUCCCAUGUAAUGUGAAAAUCUGCAUUUUCCAACAACCCAAGCAGCGAUCUAGAGAGUAACAGUUUAUUGUGCCUGCAGCCAAUGGGAGCAGUAGUUCAGCCACAGGUUGAGAGAUCCCCUGGACUAGAGAAAGUCUGACUUGCCCAUUUUUAUACGGACACGAAUAUAUUAAUAUACAUAGUCAUCAUAUCCGUAUUCCCCCUUUUUUAUUCUACCUGGGGAGGGUGGGGGGUUCCACAGACAGACAAAAGGCCAAACCUGGGGCCCAGAUGGUGAUGGACUACAGCUCCCAUCUCCCCCAGCUCAAAGGCCAUUGUGGCUGGGGAAGAUGGGAGUUGGAGUGCAACUACAUCGGAGGACCCAAGUUUGAGGAAACCCUGCCAGGAGGCAAGUUCUCCACCGACUCGGAGGUCAUGCUGGAUCCAACCUUUCCUGCAGGACCGGUGGACACCAGACCCACACCUCUGUCAAAAGACAUCAACCAAGGGGUGAAAGCCAAGUAAGGAUGUAGGAAGUGUGGGUGGAGAGCAGAAAAGCCCGGCUGCCUGCAUUUCUGCCGUGCAACAGAAGGCUGUGGAGGGAGUAUCCUAUUGCAAAAGCAACAAAACAGAGCUGGCUGGGGAUUUUGGGAUGCCCGCCACUGGAAAACAAUAGGGCUGCUCCCCCUGGAGAGUCUGCUCAAUCACAUGCAGACGCCAGGAAUGUGGCCCCCCCCCCAGAGCCUCCCCCGCAUACAACAGAGCAGGAAGUUGUUCCCAAAUGUCUUCUGCUCCGACCUCACGCAGGCCUUGCAAUAAGAGGGAGCUUCUGCCUGGAUGUGCCCAAAAGGCGUCUUGGGCCCAUUUUGACUGCGAUGUGCAGAGUUAGCAAGGGCUCUCUACCUGCACAUGGCAAGAGGCACAGCUGAGGAUGCUCACUGCCAUGUUGGGAGACGAAUGGGUGGGUGGGGGGAGAGACGUGAGCUGCAUCAAGCCACAGUGGUGGGGUGGUCGAGGCUCCCCAGACCGGCUCUUUCCACCGGCUAGGAGUGUCUCAUCUUAACAAGUGUGUGUUAAGGGGGGGGGGUGUGCGCCAAAGAAGGCGCAGCUCCGCCGCCCAGGUUAACCACGCAGCUCUACCGGAUGAAUGGCCAGCCUGCAGGCAGCACGGGACAGGAGGGAGAGGAGCAAGCGCAGCUCCAGGAAGCAGAGGCAGCUGUGCCUCCUACGGCACCCCCCUCCCCUCCCCACUCAUCCGAACGGGUUGGCUCUUGCCCUGGUGAAGCAUCAAGCCCCCCCCCCCCCCCCCGACAUCAGAGGCCAGGCUGGGAGAGCAGCCCUGAAGCAGAGGGCACGGAGUCGAGGGCUCCUCUCCUCCCUUGUCUUGCUGCCACCCGCGAGGGGCAGCCCCAUUCCCAGCCCUUUGCAGGAGAGAGUGUGGAACCGCUGAGGGCAACCCAGCAUUGAGGGGGUUACACACAGCCCGGCCUUCCGACAUUGUUCCCAACACAAUGGGGAGGAAGAGGAUGUCGGGGCCCAGAAUAUCGGUGGCUGAGUGCCAGCACAUUCCUUUGGCCACACGUGCGGGGGGGGGAAUUGGGGGGGAGAGAGCGAGCAGCCGUUAACUCCCGAGGCCCCACACUGAGCCCAGGCGCUCCCCACCCACCCUCCGGGCUUCUAUGUGGGGGAAAGAGUAGCCAGCCCGUGCAGGCCGAGUUGCCUGCGGCACGCCAGGCAAGGGAGGGCUCAGCAAGUGGCAGUCCCCAGUGGCACACAGACAGCAGCCAGCCAGGCCUCCUGAAGAAUGCCUCCCCCAAGGAGAGGCUAGCAGACCAUGUGCCCAGCCCAGGGCCCCCCAAGUGACAGGGCUGCACUUCCAGCUGGACCUCCGGACAAGAGACCCCCACCCCAGACACGUUGGCUUCUGCCUGGACGGGUGUUAAAAGGAGGCCCAAAUGAAGGCAUCAAAGAAGAGAACAUCGCAAAGAGGCCCUCCAAACGAGUGUUCCACAGCCUCCACUCCUUCUGCCCCACCUGACAUACCUUCUCCUCCUCCGGAGCAUCCGAGUCCAGACCCCCAAGGGCAUUCUCCACCCGGGCCAGCCGCCCUGAGAGAGACAGCAGCAGGUUGACCACCUUGUCCAGGUCUCCAAUGAAGAGGCGGAAUUUCUCAAACUCGUGGGGCUUGCAAACCCCCUUGACGUGGUUCUCCACUUCCUUGCCCAGCGCCACGUUAGCGCCCAUGUCGUCCUGCAGGCCUCGCUGCGCCUCCCGCAGCACCACCAGCUUCUGGCUGAUGCUCUCGAUCAGUUGCACCUGGAAAGGGGAGAGAGACAUCGUGGCCAAAAUGCAGCUAGCAAGGGCUGGGGAGGGGGAGCCCCCUUCCAAGGGCGUUUUAAACAUCGACACCCAGCUGUGCCAUUCUGGGAGUGGCAAUUCUGUAACUGAGCUGAGCUGUCUGUCCUCUCCCCAAAACCACAGGAUUUCUUUUUCUUUUUCCGGGGGGAGCCAUCAGAAGCCACAGUGACUUCCAUUCAUUUCGAACAUGCAGGACAUAUAGCCGCCCCCACCUGAAAGCAGGUUGAGCUGCUCUUUGUGCAUCCGAUGGGACACUUAAAACAUAUACAAAUA